rnacentral:tRNA from 1 species
GGAGAGUUGGCAGAGUGGUAAUGCAGCAGAUUGCUAAUCUGUCAUCGGGUUUCCGAUGCAUAGGUUCGAGUCCUAUACUCUCCGCCA